AUUUAAAUAGUUUAAAAAAAAUUUUAGUUUGUGAUUCUAAAGAUACAUUAAUGUUUUAAAUU
rnacentral:tRNA from 1 species